UUUGCCGAAAGCAAUUAUGGCUCUCAAGGCGACGACGGGUAGCCGGCCUGAGAGGGCGACCGGCCACACUGGGACUGAGACACGGCCCAGACUCCUACGGGAGGCAGCAGUGGGGAAUAUUGCACAAUGGGCGAAAGCCUGAUGCAGCGACGCCGCGUGAGGGAUGACGGCCUUCGGGUUGUAAACCUCUUUCAGCAGGGAAGAAGCGAAAGUGACGGUACCUGCAGAAGAAGCGCCGGCUAACUACGUGCCAGCAGCCGCGGUAAUACGUAGGGCGCAAGCGUUGUCCGGAAUUAUUGGGCGUAAAGAGCUCGUAGGCGGCUUGUCACGUCGGUUGUGAAAGCCCGGGGCUUAACCCCGGGUCUGCAGUCGAUACGGGCAGGCUAGAGUUCGGUAGGGGAGAUCGGAAUUCCUGGUGUAGCGGUGAAAUGCGCAGAUUUCAGGAGGAACACCGGUGGCGAAGGCGGAUCUCUGGGCCGAUACUGACGCUGAGGAGCGAAAGCGUGGGGAGCGAACAGGAUUAGAUACCCUGGUAGUCCACGCCGUAACGGUGGGCACUAGGUGUGGGCAACAUUCCACGUUGUCCGUGCCGCAGCUAACGCAUUAAGUGCCCCGCCUGGGGAGUACGGCCGCAAGGCUAAACUCAAGGAAUUGACGGGGGCCCGCACAAGCGGCGGAGCAUGUGGCUUAUUUCGACGCACGCGAGAACCUUACCAAGGCUUGACAUACACCGGAACGGCCAGAGAUGGUCGCCCCCUUGUGGUCGGUGUACAGGUGGUGCAUGGCUGUGGUCAGCUCGUGUCGUGAGAUGUUGGGUUAAGUCCCGCAACGAGCGCAACCCUUGUCCCGUGUUGCCAGCAAGCCCCUUCGGGGGUGUUGGGGACUCACGGGAGACCGCCGGGGUCAACUCGGAGGAAGGUGGGGACGACGUCAAGUCAUCAUGCCCCUUAUGUCUUGGGCUGCACACGUGCUACAAUGGCCGGUACAAUGAGCUGCGAUACCGCAAGGUGGAGCGAAUCUCAAAAAGCCGGUCUCAGUUCGGAUUGGGGUCUGCAACUCGACCCCAUGAAGUCGU
rnacentral:rRNA from 1 species